rnacentral:rRNA from 1 species
CCAACGUUAAUCGGGGCAGGGUGAGUCGACCCCUAAGGCGAGGCCGAAAGGCGUAGUCGAUGGGAAACAGGUUAAUAUUCCUGUACUUGGUGUUACUGCGAAGGGGGGACGGAGAAGGCUAUGUUAGCCGGGCGACGGUUGUCCCGGUUUAAGCAUGUAGGCUGAUUAUCCAGGCAAAUCCGGAUAAUCAAGGCUGAGGUGUGAUGACGAGGCACUACGGUGCUGAAGUAACAAAUGCCCUGCUUCCAGGAAAAGCCUCUAAGCAUCAGGUAACAUCAAAUCGUACCCCAAACCGACACAGGUGGUCAGGUAGAGAAUACCAAGGCGCUUGA